rnacentral:rRNA from 1 species
UACGAAGGGGGCUAGCGUUGUUCGGAAUUACUGGGCGUAAAGCGCGCGCAGGCGGUCUUCCAAGUCAGUGGUGAAAGCCCGGAGCUCAACUCCAGAACUGCCUUUGAUACUGGCGAUCUCGAGUCCGGGAGAGGUGAGUGGAACUGCGAGUGUAGAGGUGAAAUUCGUAGAUAUUCGCAAGAACACCAGUGGCGAAGGCGGCUCACUGGCCCGGUACUGACGCUGAGGUGCGAAAGCGUGGGGAGCAAACAGG